CGGGACAGAAGGCUGCGAUAGGCAUCUGUAUCCCCCUAUUUGUUCUACUUGUUCUCGGAGCACUUUUCUGGAUUUAUAGAAGAAAGAGAUUCCACGGACGGUGGAUUUUAAAUAACGAUAUAACAUAUAGGACUUACAGCAAUGCCAGCUACGUUGGAGAGGAUCAUAACGGAGAUAUAAGUAACAACUACAGAUGACACCAACAAGGACAGACUUCUAGUAUAUAUUAAAUUACCAGGCCCCAGAAGCACACAAAUACUGAAAAGAAAA